GCGCUUACAGCAGGAACCGCGCCUGGCCCGGGCAGGCGGCCACCAGCCCCUCCGCUGCCACCUCCAGGAACAGCCGCUGCCGCCCCAUGGCGCUGAACGCCCUCCCCGCCGGAAGCCGCCGCCAGCCAGAAAAGAAAAAGAAGAAAAGAAGAGCCAGGAGGAUAGGUUGUUCAGUUUACUACUGGAGACCUGACUGUGACAGACCACCAAGAAAACAAAAUUUUCAAAGAGAGCAAAGAAGACCUCCUGCAGCAUCUGCAAGUCUCUCCUUUUUUCUUCAGAGUUACGUAGGAUAACUUAGCCAGAACUUAUUGAUGACUGUGUGUUCAGUGGACUCGGGAAUGGACUGGGAGAUGCAGGAAGGCACUCUUUGGAAGGAACAGAAGAGGAGGCAUUUCAAAGAUCCUGCAGGUGACUGAGGCGAGCAAACUCACAGCUUCUCUUUCAGGUCAUGAUCUGCUGCCAGGAUAAAUAAAUCUUAGAAAAUGCCGAGACUGCUCAGCCAUUUGCUGUGGUAUCACUCCCACAUGAAGAACCUGUAUCAUCAUCUUUCUUCAAGUAUCUUCUCUCCUGUGGUAAGUUUUUCAGACAUACAAUCUUCUGUGUCAGGAGUUUUAAGAAGAGGGAGUGAAGUGAGUUCUGAAAAGUCCAGCUCUGGUCCUAGAUUUUGUUGGAAGAACUGGAAGCUAUUGUCAGUAAACCUAGUUGUA